rnacentral:rRNA from 1 species
GACGAACGCUGGCGGCGUGCUUAACACAUGCAAGUCGAACGGAAAGUCCCUGCUUUUGUGGGGUGCUCGAGUGGCGAACGGGUGAGUAACACGUGAGUAACCUGCCCUUGACUUUGGGAUAACUUCAGGAAACUUGGUCUAAUACCUGAUAGGAGCUCCUGCUGCAUGGUGGGGGUUGGAAAGUUUCGGCGGUUGGGGAUGGACUCGCGGCUUAUCAGCUUGUUUGUGGGGUAGUGGCUUACCAAGGCUUUGACGGGUAGCCGACCUGAGAGGGUGACCGGCCACAUUGGGACUGAGAUACGGCCCAGACUACUACGGGAGGCAGCAGUGGGGAAGAGUGCACAAUGGGCGGAAGCCUGAUGCAGCAAAGCCGCGUGCGGGAUGACGGCAUUCGGGUUGUAAACCGAUUUCGACUGUGACGAAGCGUGAGUGACGGUAAUGGGUAAAGAAGCACCGGCUAACUACGUG